rnacentral:rRNA from 1 species
UGGGAGCUUGCUCCCUGAGAUUAGCGGCGGACGGGUGAGUAACACGUGGGCAACCUGCCUAUAAGACUGGGAUAACUUCGGGAAACCGGAGCUAAUACCGGAUACGUUCUUUUCUCGCAUGAGAGAAGAUGGAAAGACGGUUUCGGCUGUCACUUAUAGAUGGGCCCGCGGCGCAUUAGCUAGUUGGUGAGGUAAUGGCUCACCAAGGCGACGAUGCGUAGCCGACCUGAGAGGGUGAUCGGCCACACUGGGACUGAGACACGGCCCAGACUCCUACGGGAGGCAGCAGUAGGGAAUCUUCCGCAAUGGACGAAAGUCUGACGGAGCAACGCCGCGUGAACGAAGAAGGCCUUCGGGUCGUAAAGUUCUGUUGUUAGGGAAGAACAAGUACCAGAGUAACUGCUGGUACCUUGACGGUACCUAACCAGAAAGCCACGGCUAACUACGUGCCAGCA